UCCGUAGGUGAACCUGCGGAAGGAUCAUUACUGAACUGUCGACACGAGUUGUUGCUGGUCCUCAAAUGGGGGCAUGUGCACACUCUGUUUACACACCCACUCACACCUGUGCACCCUCUGUAGUUCUGUGGUUUGGGGUGACCCUGUCCUCCUGCUGUGGUUCUACGUCUUUACACACACUCUGCGAUAAAGUCUUAUGGAAUGUAUGUCGCGUUUAACGCAAUAAAAUACAACUUUCAGCAACGGAUCUCUUGGCUCUCGCAUCGAUGAAGAACGCAGCGAAAUGCGAUAAGUAAUGUGAAUUGCAGAAUUCAGUGAAUCAUCGAAUCUUUGAACGCACCUUGCGCCCUUUGGCUAUUCCGAAGGGCAUGCCUGUUUGAGUAUCAUGAACACCUCAACUCUCAUGGUUUGCCAUGAUGAGCUUGGACUUUGGGGGUCUUGCUGGCCUAUGGUCGGCUCCUCUCAAACGAAUCAGCUUGCCAGUGUUUGGUGGGAUCACGGGUGUGAUAAAUAUCUACGCUUGUGGCCUUCUGCCAAGUAACCUUCAGUGAUGGAGGUUUGCUGGAGCUCAUAAAUGUCUCUCCUCAGCGAGGACAGCUCUUUUGAAUGUUUGAUCUCAAAUCAGGUAGGACUACCCGCUGAACUUAAGCAUAUCAAUAAGCGGAGGA
rnacentral:rRNA from 1 species